AACCAGAAAAAAUUCAAUUUGAUGGGGAAAAAAAUAACUCUAUGACCCAUCUACCCCCACCUCCACCUCCCAGGGCAGGAGGAUGCUGUCACGGUCUUCAGAAUGUCUUUUUUGUAGUUUAAACUCCUAAACUAACAUUAUAAAUGUGUUAAAAUGGGCAAACAAUAAAGAAAGAUCAGAAAUGUCAUGAUGACACACAGACAGGUUGAGGGUUCAUGAACUUUAACCUCGUUAGAGUUUUAUUGACGUCAGCUGCUUCUCUCCAAACAUCACUGAUGUGGUCUUUGCUCCAGUUCAGUCCCUCUUCAUCUCAGCCGACCUCACAGCAUUUUGGAGACUCAGAUGGUCAUUUUCUGCUCCAGUCAGCCUCCGUUUGCUUUUAUUUUCUCAGCGUUCUCCCCGUUUUCACUUCAGGACAAAACCAUCAGGAGGAAGGAAGCCAGGCAGAGGAAACAUUUACAGAUAAUCUCCAAAGCGAAGCCGCCAGAACAUCUCUGCACACGACGGAGACGUCCCAGAAACCCGACUGGAGCCUGCAGAGUCUGAGAUCCUCUGAGAUGAGACAAAGCCCUGAGGAAGAGGAGGGGAGGGGCUGAGACCUGUGAAGACACAGAAGACGUUCCACCACAGCGCCGUUCUGAUGUUCUUCUGGUUCCUUCUUCAGAGUCUGGAGCUUUUCCCCUGGACGAUUUUAUCCGUGGAGCUUUGCUCUUUCCUGCAGGCACCACAGGGUUUGUUCCGUAGUUAUUAGCUCCAUCAACCAUUCUCCUCAUCAUCAGAUGAUGAAGACCCCCCCCCACCACCCCCCAGCACAGCUCUGGUAGAAGCUCACUCCUCUGUGGACACAUCCAGCGUCUGUCACUGCAGGAGAAGUCCAGAACAACCCCCCCACCCCCGCUGUGACUCUGAAACAGAGUCAGAACGGGGGGGGGGGUUUGACAUAUUUUCAUACUAAUCCAGGCAGGAAAAAACAGAAGCGACCCAAAAACUGAACAAAGAACUGCGACGUGGGCACUCAGAACCAGAACAUCCAGGAUCAAUCCUGAAGUUGAAUCAUGGCGUCUGGACUUCAAAUCUGCUUCCCAGCGGCCGAGGACGUCACCUCCUGAUGGAUCGUGUGAUCAGGCGUUCAACGUGGCAGUGAGCACUAAAAAACCAAAAAAAGCGAAUGCAGACGUCACAGAACCUGACCAAGUUCUAUCUUAUGUCUUAUGAAGUAUCAACAAGGGUUAAAGGAACCCACUGUUCUGGCAUUAACCCGCAAAUAUUAUGUAUAAAAGAAAUAUGUUUUCAACCA